GCCCGGGUGAUGGAAUGGUAGACAUGAGGGACUUAAAAUCCCUUGAGAGUAACAUCUCGUGCCAGUUCGACUCUGGCCCCGGGCA
rnacentral:tRNA from 1 species